rnacentral:lncRNA from 10 species
UGAUUUCCUCUCCUGCUGUCCUGUCUUCUAAAGCAGUCUGAAAUGAAAUCUGCCCCCAGAGCUGUGCACAGAGGAAAUGGAGAACAGAUCAUUCAAGAAGGAACACCCCACCCGCAAGCCGUGCUAGACUCGCAUGGAGCCCUCCUUGAUGUGAGCACAAGGGACCUCCAUGCUCCUACUUCUGCUGGUCUCCAUUUCACCAGGCGCCUCCCUCCGACUUCCAAUUGGCCACAAGCUUCGUCGCUCUCUCUCAAAGCAAUUUUGUGUGUGAGUAUAGUCAGAAGCUCUGCGGUUUCUGCGGGGCCUGGAGAUCCACAUGUAAAAUCCCUGCUGUAACACAGUGCUUUGUGCUCCGGUGGAAAAACAGCGCUGCUGAAAGCCUCUACCCAUGUAUAAUUUAGCAACAUCACCUGGGGCCGCAGGCACAGUUUGGAGGACAAUGUCAUGGGUGCCUCGGGAUCCACACCUAACUGGGGCAUCUCAUGACAAUCGAGGGAAAGGAUAAUGUCUGCUUUGCUCCCUGAAUUGAUAUCUCUCUGCACUGGUGUCACAAUUACAACUGAAAGGGUGUGGCAGAUGCAUGCAACUCUCAGGGAACAGCCUGCAGCAGAACAUCUUGGCAGGGGGAGGACAAGAGCUGGCCAGACACUUCUGGAAGUUCUGGAAGGAGAUGCUGAAGCUCUACCCAUUCCACUGUAAAGGACAACACCAGGAAAUCCCAGUUAAUAUGGUUUAACCUCCUAAUCAUGCACCGACUAUCCCCCACCAUUGCAUGGGAGGCAGAGAAGAAUAAAACACUGUGCACAUGUGUCCAAAUAGAAUCAAGGGCACUUUUUAAUUGCUUUUUUUUUUUAAACUCAAUGUGUAGAGUAAGUUUUUCACUGGCCUGAUCAAAAGAAAACCAGGGACAGAAAACUAACUGGCUGUGCAAUGCAGACCCCUGCCUGAAGAAGGGACUUCAGGUGGGAAACUUUGCAGAAAGCCCUGUGCAAAGCUGGCUACAACUGCACCCCUCAGAGUAUGAGGAAAAAGGAAAAAAAACCACAACAAGUUCAAGUGAAGAGGAAAGGCCCCUUGAAGGCCUACCAGCCAGCUCCCAAGUGCUCUUCCUUAUAUGUCAAUAUCUUGGUGCUGUUGCAGGACAUUGGAGCAGGCUCAGUGUAACCUCACCCCUGCUGGCAAGAGGCUCCCUGGCCCCACCUCCAGACCCGCCCCAGGCAGGAAGAAGAGCACCCAGGUCUUGGGGCAUGCUGAUGGAAAGGCAGCAUUCCUAGAAUAGGAAAGCAACUGACUGAGAAGCCUCUGUCCCCUUGAAUUAGAGUUUAUUGGUAGGAAAUAAGAGGCUGAAGCCAACUGCGGGCUUCACAGUGAUCCUCACGCCCAGAUGGGCUGACCUAGGAGCAGUAUAGGCUCUACACACCAUUCUGCUGUCAAGUGGUCAAAAUGAACGCAUCAGAAGGUCAAAUUCUGGCUCGGCCUCCAAGUGCAGAGACAGCAUUAACUUCGAGAGUAUUGCUGGCAACCAUUAUAACCCUCUAAUUGCCUAUGCAAUGCACAAGAUUUUAAAAUAUAUGUAUUGCACAAACAAUAUUGUGAAACAACAGAAAUCAACUCUCUCAUCUUAAAAAAACCUUAAUACGAGGUUCCAGGAGGGGAUUUAAAAAAUGAUAUGGCUGUUCUUUGCUUCAGGCAAUAAACAUGCUACUGAAAACCUAUGUGUAAAUACAGUCUUAUGCCAACUAAGUCCUUCUUAAAAAUGCACCAGAAAACAGGCUCUGUUUUAAGCACUUAAUUGUAUUUGCUCAUUAAGUCUUCAGAAGCUCUGGAAGUAGAUUUUAUUAAGAUCUUCAUUUUGCAGGUAGGAAAUUGCAACACAGAAAUGUUCAGUAACUUGGACAAGGUUGCAGAGCUGAGUUGGAACAGGGUGCCCAGGCCUCUGAGCCCACAUCCCUAACCAUGGGCUACACUGCCUCCCAAUGGACUGAGAGUGAGUUAGUUCCCUGGCAAAACCUGCCCCUCCCAAGCAUGCUGUUUAUAAAGAUGGAUGAUCACACAUGGUCACAUUUAAUAUCAACAACAUCCCAUACUUAAAUCUUUGAAUGAAAAGAUAUGACUAUUUCCUGAUAAAGCAUCACACAGCUAAGACAAAGAGCUGAAUGCAUAAAGAAGUUUCCCCAUAUCCAUUCGCCUUUCUUUUCUUGAAAAGCCUCAAAUAGAUUUGGGCAGCCAUACAGCCAAUUAAAAAAAUACUUUCCUGCAGAGGAUCUACAAAAAAUGUCAGCUAACAUCAUACUUAAAGGUAAAGGCUGAGUGCUUUCCCCUUAAGUUCAAGUAGAAGAUGAGGAUUCUGUUAUCAGCACUUCCUUUCAACACCAAAAUGGAGAUUCUAGCCAGGGCAAUAAGGCAAGAAAAGGAAAUUAAAGGAGAUUAAAAAGGAAUAAGUAGGCCAGGCACAGUGGCUUAAACCUGCAAACCCAGCACUUUGGGAGGCCGAGGAGCUCAGAGGGCUGAGGUGGGAGGAUUGCUUGAGCCUGGGUAUACUGAGCCAAGAUCAUGCCAUUGCACUCUAGCCUGGGUGACACAGUGAGACCCUGUCUCAAAAAAACUCCAAAACAAACAAAAAGGAGUAAGUAAGACUGACUCCACUCAAAAAGACAUGAUUGUCUAUGUAGAAAAAUCUUAAGAAAUAUUUAUUUAUUUAUUUAUUUUUGAGACAGGGUCUCACUCCUGUCACCCAGGCUUGACUGCAGUGGCAUGAUCAUGGCUCACUGCAGCCUUGACCUCCUGGGUUCUUGCAAUCCUCCCAACCUCAGCCUUCUGGGUAGCCGGGACUACAGGUGCACAACACCAUGCAUGGCUAACUCUUCUGAAUUUUCAGUAGAGAUAGGGUCUUGCUGUGUUGCUGGAUCUGGUCUCAAACUCCUGGGCUCGAGUGAUCUGCCAGCAUUGGCCUCCCAAAGUUGCUGGAAUUACAGGUGUGAGCCACUGUGCCCAGCCUAAGAAAUAUAUAAUAAAGCUGUUAGAGAAAUAGGAGCACAGGAGAACCAAGGUGACAUCAUUUUAAAAUCAACUCCAUCUUAAAACUAGCAAGGCACAUUCCUUGCCAGUCAUGAACCAUGGUCAUAAGAUGUUUACAGUUGAGAAAACAGCUUAAAUGUACCUGAAAGAACACAAUCUUACAACAAAGGAAAGUCCAGAUGUCCCAAUAACCAUAACGAUAUAUGAUUUUAAGAUAAUUAUAUUUAUGCUUUGAGGUACUUAUUCAAUAAAAAAAACAAGGGGCCAAGUGCGG